AUCACCAGGCUAAUACUACCAGGACUCUAUCAUGCCGUAAUCAUUUAGUAUAGACACAAGAAACUGGAUUUUCUAGUUAACACUUUUUGACACUACAUAGGGACAGUUAAACUUCACAUGUACUGUAGACCAUACAACCUGUGUACGAGACAUUCCAUUCAUAAAAAUUUGUAUUUUGAUUUGAUUGGAUUUAAGACCUUUUAAAACAAGUCAUCGGAUUAAAGGAGUAUUAACAUUAGUUUUGUGAGUUGGUUCAGUUAGCUAUACAAUGCUUUCUGUAUGUUAGUAUUUAAGAGCAACUAAUCUGUAUAUAAGAAUCAAUGAAUGAGAUGCAAAGUGUUGUACUUUAGUCAUGGACUAAUUUUAUUCUUAGCCUAGCUCUACUUGUUUACUAAGUUGGAGUGUAGGAAAUAGUGGUGUCAUCUGUUCCACUGUGCACAGUGAAAGCAUUUCCUAAUGAAAGAAGUAUUCAUUUUGGCUAAUUAAAUAAUUAUUUUUAAAAAGUGUGUGUUUGUGCACAUGGUUUUUACAGCGUCUCACACAUAAUACCCAAAAGGUCAAAGCUCAGUGAGCAGACAGGAGUUGAUAAACCAGCUCAGGGGAACGUCCACAGAGAUGGACACCGAGGCUGCUACUGCUUGUGACAAACACAUAUAUACACUCACACAUAUUAAUUCAACGUGGCUAUAAUAGAAAUGUUUCUUCACACACAAUUAGUUAUGAUUGAACCAUUUGUGGCUACAAAGUGUUUUUUCUUUCUUUCAACCUUUCUUCUCCUUUUGACUUUCAUUUCUUUCUUCCUCUUGAAUAUCAACCCUUCAUCAACUUCCUGACACGCAAGUCACAGAGUUGUGUGUUUAGACUUUAGACUUUGAACACGCCCACAGAGGCAACCUGCUGCGAUAGACGUAUGUACUUGCUUUCAGUUCACCACUGUACUCAGUUGUAGUCCAAGAUGGAGUUUGCCUACAGUCAUGUUGUGUGUAACUGGGGAUCUGAUGGAGCAGGUGUUUCUCUUAUUGGGACCACAUAUGACAACAUAGUGGUAGCUAAGCAGCAAGAAGGUCCACUUCCUCCACCGCUGCCCCCUCGUCGUCGGAGGAAACCUCGGCCUACCUCCCUCCCUCUCCCCCCUCUUCCCUUCCCUCUGCCUCCUCUCAGUCCACUGUCCCUCCCGCCUCCUGUCCCACCCAGAAGUACGUUUUGGUCACUCUUUGUCCUUGCUCUCUCAAAGUAAUCUUGAAUUUUGCAGGGAUAAAUUUUGCUUUGUUUCAUUCAUUUAUGUCGUGUUUGAUCAGUCGACAAGCUGAGAGUAGAAAGCAAGUUGAAAGCCAACGUGAACAUCGUCUCCCUCAGUAUUGGAAAGCUGGUUGACAUCAGCCAAGGUCAGAGGACACCCAUACACAACUAACACACCUGUUCCAUCUUUGACUUUUUUUAAAACCCCUUUUCUCC
rnacentral:lncRNA from 1 species